rnacentral:rRNA from 1 species
UACAGAGGCCUCAAGCGUUGUUCGGAUUCAUUGGGCGUAAAGGGUGCGUAGGCGGCGCGGUAAGUCGGGUGUGAAAUUUCGAGGCUUAACUCCGAAACUGCAUUCGAUACUGCCGUGCUUGAGGACUGGAGAGGAGACUGGAAUUUACGGUGUAGCGGUGAAAUGCGUAGAUAUCGUAAGGAAGACCAGUGGCGAAGGCGGGUCUCUGGACAGUUCCUGACGCUGAGGCACGAAGGCCAGGGGAGCAAACGGG